ACUACUUGGAUAACCGUGGUAAUUCUAGAGCUAAUACAUGCUAAAAACCUCGACUUCGGAAGGGGUGUAUUUAUUAGAUAAAAAACCAAUGCCCUUCGGGGCUCCUUGGUGAUUCAUGAUAACUUAACGAAUCGCAUGGCCUUGUGCCGGCGAUGGUUCAUUCAAAUUUCUGCCCUAUCAACUUUCGAUGGUAGGAUAGUGGCCUACCAUGGUUUCAACGGGUAACGGGGAAUUAUGGUUCUAUUCCGGAGAGGGAGCCUGAGAAACGGCUACCACAUCCAAGGAAGGCAGCAGGCGCGCAAAUUACCC
rnacentral:rRNA from 1 species